UCGUUUUUCCUUCCGUUGUGAAGGAAUGCUGGGGAGGCUCGACGAUGACUUCUGCGACAUGCAGUCAUCAUCAUCGACCUCCAUACUUUGGGUGCCUCUUUGGGAAGGGGUUUUUACGACCCCGUCCCAAACUGAUUGUGUGCCAUCGACCUUAGAGGAGGCCAUGGCUGUUUCUUUGUGGCCAGUUGAACGGCUGGCCUCCGUAACUGCAGGAGUCACCUGAGUGUCUCCAGCCUCCUGUUGGGGAGUGUAGGGUGGGAACUCAGAGACCUGCGAGCAGGUUUGAGUUUCCACAGAUUUCCUUGGUGGUGCCACUCCCCUGCGCACCACUUCGGAGAAAGAUCCUUUCAUUUGAAAUUCGUAUUGUGUCUUUGCAGCUCUGUAAGGAAUGUUUUGUACGGUUUUGAUCUUUAUGAUUUCUUUUUCUUCUUUCCAACGUGGACACGAUCGAGAGUACACCGGGUGGUUGCCCUGGCAGUUGGCACAACGGUACUCAUUGCUGCAAGUCUCUGGCGAAUGGUCUUUGCCAGAGCACUUUGGGCAGGUGGAGUGUCCGCGGCAGACAAGCGAACUGUGCCCAAAAUGCUGGCACUUGAAACAACGUCUUGGGUUUGGAAUGUAUGGUCUGACAUUGCAACUGAGAGACCACGCCCUGCUCACUCAGUCCAUCUUCAAUCUCAGAUUCUGUGCAUUCGAUGAGUUCAUCUUCUGAUAUUACACCUUUGGUUAUGUUCAGUGUGCGGUGUACGUUAACAUUUACAGUGCAGCAGGCGUGUCGCCCACCAUGGAGCCCAACUUGGGGAACGUGCCCCGCACGCUAACACCUACCUCUGCACUAUACCCUAGUGCAGCUUCUGGAGAGUGAAAAGACUGCCCAAGGUUGACCCUUGCCGCCAAAGAAGGUGAAGGGAGGAAAAGGAAGACAGUGAAGGAGUGGAGAAAGAAAAAGUAAUGAAAAGGGAGAUGGCGACUAGCUGAAUAAUCCUGGCCGGGCCUUCCAGGACUACCCGACUAUGGGAAGCAGGGGCCAAAGCGGUGUGUUGCU